AUGGGCGUGCUCUUCUCGUGUCCCGUGGAGGACGACGGCGAAUGCGGCCUCGUCGCGGCGUCGGCGGCGGCGGCGGAGGAGCAGCAGGCCACGUUCCUCAAGGCGUCGCUCGGCUCCGGCAAGCUCCGGAUCGAGGGCUCCCUCAGCUUCAAGCGGCUCCAGCUGGUGGAGCCCAAUAUCUCAAUCACCAGUGACUCGCCCCGCCCCGACGCCGUCGCGGUGACCGCGCCGGUCCCGGUGCCGAGGGAGCUCCUCCGGACGCGGUUCGCCGACGCGGCGGUUACGGCGGCGGCGCAGCCGGAGAGCCCCAAGCACGAGGCGGCGGCCGUGACGCUGCAGAAGGUGUACAAGAGCUUCCGGACGCGGCGCCGGCUCGCCGACUGCGCCGUGCUCGUGGAGCAGAACUGGUGGGAGCUGCUGGACUUCGCGCUGCUCAAGCGGAGCUCCGUCUCCUUCUUCGACAUCGAGCGGCAGGAGACCGCCGUGUCCAAGUGGGCGCGCGCCAGGACCAGGGCCGCCAAAGUCGGAAAAGGGCUGUCCAAGGAUGACAAGGCUCGGAAGCUCGCAUUGCAGCACUGGCUUGAAGCUAUUGACCCGCGUCACCGGUACGGCCACAACCUUCACUACUACUACGACUGCUGGCUGAGGUGCGAAAGCAGGGAGCCUUUCUUCUACUGGCUCGACAUAGGAGAGGGCAAGGAGAUCAACCUCGAGGAGCGGUGCCCGCGGUCGAAGCUUCUCAGUCAGUGCAUCAAGUAUCUUGGUCCGAAAGAGAGAGAGGACUAUGAGGUUGUGAUUGAGGAUGGCAAGUUCAUGUACAAGAACAGCAGGCAAAUCCUCGAUACGUCGGGCGGUCCGAGGGAUGCAAAGUGGAUCUUUGUGCUGAGCACAUCCAGGAAUCUGUAUGUUGGGCAGAAGAAAAAGGGCACAUUUCAGCAUUCUAGCUUUCUCGCCGGAGGCGCCGCGUCUGCUGCGGGGCGACUAGUUGUUGAAGAUGGAGUUCUGAAGGCUAUCUGGCCUCACAGUGGGCACUACCGCCCCACAGAAGAGAACUUCCAGGAAUUCCAGGACUUCCUCAGAGAGAACAAGGUUGAUCUCAGCGAUGUUAAGAUGAGCCCAACUGAAGAGGAUGAGGAGUUUUGGAGCAGGCUGAGAAGCAUCCCUUCUGAGCGGUGCACCGAUGCCGACAAACCCGAAGAAGAAAUGGUUCCUGCUGCAGAAACCAUCCCUUGCCUGGCACCUCAGGUCACUGAAGCUACACCUGAAAAUGUCAUCCAACUCCAAGAAACAAGCAAAGAUCAUAGCCAACCGGAGAUAUUAACAAGGCUGGAUUCAUCGAAAGGCGCUGUAAACAUCGAAAAAUCAACAAAUUCCAUGCCUGAAGAUCAUCAGGAAGAUAGUGACGAUGAUCAUUCAUCGGUGCCAAGGGAGAAGAUCAUUGGGAGAGUCAACUCAUAUCAGCUGGGGAAGCAAGGGUCCUUCAAGUGGACCACCGGCGCCGGACCCCGGAUCAUUUGCGUCAGGGACUACCCGCCGGAGCUCCAGCACCGGGCGCUGGAGGAGGUGCACCUGUCCCCGAGGAGGAGCGGCAGGCCGACGUCGAGGUUCUCGUCGCCGCAGAGGGGCGGCAGCCCGAUGUCGAGAGGGUGUGAACCGCUGACGCCGAGAGAGGCGUUCCAUGCCACGCACCUGCAGCAAGGAUUACUGAUCAGUUUAUGA
rnacentral:rRNA from 1 species